CCUACGGGGCGCAGCAGUGGGGGAUAUUGCACAAUGGGGGGAACCCUGAUGCAGCGACGCCGCGUGGGUGAAGAAGCGUUUCGGCGCGUAAAGCCCUGUCAGCAGGGAAGAAGAUGACGGUACCUGACCAAGAAGCCCCGGCUAACUACGUGCCAGCAGCCGCGGUAAUACGUAGGGGGCAAGCGUUAUCCGGAUUUACUGGGUGUAGAGGGGGCGCAGACGGCGAUGCAAGCCAGGAGUGAAAGCCCGGGGCCCAACCCCGGGAGUGUUCUUGGAUCUGGGUGGC
rnacentral:rRNA from 1 species